AGACGAACGCUGGCGGCGUGCCUAAUACAUGCAAGUCGAACGAAACUUUCUUACACCGAAUGCUUGCAUUCACCGUAAGAAGUUGAGUGGCGGACGGGUGAGUAACACGUGGGUAACCUGCCUAAAAGAAGGGGAUAACACUUGGAAACAGGUGCUAAUACCGUAUAUCUCUAAGGAUCGCAUGAUCCUUAGAUGAAAGAUGGUUCUGCUAUCGCUUUUAGAUGGACCCGCGGCGUAUUAACUAGUUGGUGGGGUAACGGCCUACCAAGGUGAUGAUACGUAGCCGAACUGAGAGGUUGAUCGGCCACAUUGGGACUGAGACACGGCCCAAACUCCUACGGGAGGCAGCAGUAGGGAAUCUUCCACAAUGGACGCAAGUCUGAUGGAGCAACGCCGCGUGAGUGAAGAAGGUCUUCGGAUCGUAAAACUCUGUUGUUAGAGAAGAACACGAGUGAGAGUAACUGUUCAUUCGAUGACGGUAUCUAA
rnacentral:rRNA from 1 species